UACAGAGGGGGCAAGCGUUAUUCGGAAUUAUUGGGCGUAAAGGGCGCGUAGGCGGCUUUUCAAGUGACGGGUGAAAUCCCUCGGCUUAACCGAGGAACUGCCUGUCAGACUGGAAGGCUUGAGACCGGGAGAGGUGAGUGGAAUUCCCAGUGUAGCGGUGAAAUGCGUAGAUAUUGUAAGGAAGACCAGUGGCGAAGGCGGGUCUCUGGACAGUUCCUGACGCUGAGGCACGAAGGCCAGGGGAGCAAACGGG
rnacentral:rRNA from 1 species